ACGCUGGCGGCACGCUUAACACAUGCAAGUCGAACGGAGCUUUUGAGCUUGCUUAAAAAGCUUAGUGGCGGACGGGUGAGUAACACGUGAGCAAUCUGCCUUUCAGAGGGGGAUAGCAGUUGGAAACGACUGAUAAUACCGCAUAACAUAUCGGGACCGCAUGAUUCUGAUAUCAAAGAUUUUAUCGCUGAAGGAUGAGCUCGCGUCUGAUUAGAUAGUUGGUGAGGUAACGGCUCACCAAGUCAACGAUCAGUAGCCGGACUGAGAGGUUGAACGGCCACAUUGGGACUGAGACACGGCCCAGACUCCUACGGGAGGCAGCAGUGGGGAAUAUUGCACAAUGGGCGCAAGCCUGAUGCAGCGAUGCCGCGUGAGGGAAGAAGGUUUUAGGAUUGUAAACCUCUGUCUUAUGGGACGAUAAUGACGGUACCAUAGGAGGAAGCUCCGGCUAACUACGUGCCAGCAGCAGC
rnacentral:rRNA from 1 species